UUUAAUCCGUUGAGGAUUGGUUUGAAUUGAGUCAAUUAUUUUGAUGAUGUGAGAGAUAGAAUACUCUUGAAAUUCAGCCUGGGUUGCUUUAACUGAUUUGGUUUUGAUAAAUGAUUUAUUGCUGAACCGAUUCUUUAAAGCUUUAUAAAUGAGUUAAAUCGGUUGAUAUUGAGUUGAUUUUUGAAAUGGUUUCCUUGAGGUAUGCCAUUGAGGCGACUGUUGGAUUUAGCUUGCUUUUGAAUUGAUUUCUGGUUUUGAGCUGUUGAAAAGGAUUGAGAAACGGUUUAGUUGGGACCCGAACCGGGUGGCAAAAGUCCAAGUUUUAAGGGAGGUGCU
rnacentral:lncRNA from 1 species